rnacentral:lncRNA from 1 species
AGAAUCUCUCAUCUCACAGCAGACUUGUUGCUGCUCUACUACCAUAAAAAAUGGCCGGAUAUUGGCAACCACUCACACACGAACAGUAAGAGAAACAGAGUCGAACUCGCCGUCGAGGUUUAUGGAUACCGGUUCCGUCUACGGUCCCCGAUGAAGACUUUGCCAUGAUUUCUCGAGUUUGCUUGCCCUCUUUGUAACUUCACCCUAGUUCAUUUAUACAAAAGCUGGUUCACUAAAUUGUAUUUUGAUUUCUCGUGUCAAUUUGGUAUCAUCUCUUUUUCUGCGAUUUAUUGUACCAAAAAGAGUAUUCCAUUUUCAAAGGGAGAUUCUGUUGUGGUUAGUUUUUCUAUUUCCAGUUCAUACUAUUCUGCUGGAAUUGUUUUUCUGUGGUAUCGGCUAUUCUGGGUGCGAAACGGGCGUUAACGAUGCCUGGGGGAUGAAACUUAUUGUAUUGAUGACAAUGAAGUCAUGGAGGUCGCGCUUAGUAGUUUAUCUCUUGGUUCUGCAACUAUUAGCUGCAUCUAUUAGCCGUGCAUUGAGCGAGCUCGUCUCUAUUGGAGUUGCCGAUCGAGGUUGCUGUUGGAGGUUCAAGUCGUGACUUGCGUGUUCCUAUUCGUGGCUAUUGAAUCAUUUUGCUGCUAUACUUUGCAUUCGGAUCCAAUAGAUUUGAGGUUGCUGUAUUUGCACCUUCCCGACUGAUCAGAAAGCUUCGCACGUUAAGGUCCGAUCCUUCAAUCCUUUACUCAUUCUAGUAUUAAUUGUGUUUGGUGAUUUGAUCUUGUGACUUGUUAUCUACGAUUUUGAAUAUGUCCGCUUGUAUGUCUACCUGAACUAACUAAGAGUGAAUUGAAAUCGCACGUCCAGUUAGUUGAAUCGUAUGCUUAAGUUGGAUCCGAAUAUUGGACUGUCAGUGGUUGGAUUCGUAUGUCUAUGAUUUGUAUGUUUACUUAAUGAGCACAAAAGUGGCAGUAGUAUACAUUUGUUAAGAACAACAUUGUGUUUUACCAAUCUCAUUAGCUGGUACAGUGAAACCCUUGUUUCUCUUUAAAUGUGAUUGCAAAAACAUAAUCAGAAGGCUUUGCUAUCAGGGUUAGAUUUAUUUGGUGUUUUCUAUGGAUGAAUGUUUCUUUUAAUAAGAUGAAUUGUGAAGAGGGAUGGAUGCUUGUUUGGUUUGAAUUUGAAAUCUUAAUAGAGAUAUAGUAUUAAGGAGUCGCGGGUGCAUUUCAUGUGACCCGGUUCCAAUUUCGAUCAAGGUCAAAUAAAGUGUGUCGUGAACCAUGGAUACAUUUCAUGUAACGUGGCUUGCGAUAUGUAUUAAAUAACCUUGAACUUUCCUUAAAUAAAUAAAAGCAAUUUGAAAGUUUACGGCCUUCCAAAUGUAAUUCUCUUUUAAAUUGGAAUUAGAGAGGUGCCGUGCCAAACAAAAAUGACAACUGCACGACCCUCAUUUAUUUAGUCUUGUUUUGUCCUUAGAAAAUCGGGAAGGGACGUUUAGCAAAUUUUACGGCCCUCCCAAAAGAUAAUAACGCGUUAGACUCUUUAGACGCGAUUCUAAUAAAAUUACCUUUCUUAAACUUGGGUGCGCAUUGAUGCAACCCAAAUCUAAAUCUCGGCGAAGUCGAAAUGCGUUGAUAACCACGGGUGCCUUGAUGGCAACGGAGUUAGAAACGCGUUUUCACGACGUCAUAAUUCUUAUAAAACGAAUAAUGAUUGAAAGUGGUAAUAAAAUGGAGACGAGCCUCACCUAACAAGAAUAAAUGUGGGGCCCUCAAUAAUUGGUUAUUUAAAAUGAUUAGAAUUUGGAAGAGUCGUCUAGCAAAUUUCAACGGCUUUUCCCAAACAAUAUUACGUUAGAACCUUUAAGUGCGAUUUAAUUAAAUUAUUUCCUUAAACUCGGGUGCGUAUUGAUGCGACCCAAAUUCAAAUCUCGAGGAAGUCGAAACGUGUUGACGACCAUGAGUGCCUUUGACGGCGACGUGGUAAGAGACGUGUUUUCACGACGUUGCAAUUCUUUUAACAUAAUGACAAGCGGUUUACUAAUAAAAGGCGCAUAAGCUAGCAUGUAUUAGAAUCAGAUAAAAUCAAAUACAACAAUUAAGCGACCGUGCUAGAACCACGAAAUCCGGGAAUGCCUAACACAUUCUUCCGGGUUAACAGAAUUCCUUAUCAGGAUUUCUGGUUCAAGGACUGUAAUACAGAGUCAUAUCCUUCCUCGGUUCGGGAUUCAAAUCGGUGACUUGGAACACCAUAAAUCUCCCAAGUGGCGACUCUGAGUAAUUAAUAACCUAAUUCCGUUCCGAUUGUCCUUUAAUUGGAAAAACUCCUUUAUGCCCCUUUCGCGGGGUGUAUAAUGAAAAAAGGAAGUGUGACUCUUGUCAUAGCAUUAAUGGUGACAAAAGUUCUCCUUUAAUGAAAUCCACUUCCCAAAUAUUUAACUGAAGAAUAAAUAAAAGUGGGGGAACUAUUUGUAUUGAGAAAAAUCGAGUUUGUAUAUUAAAGAUGACGUGCCGUGAUAGGUAGACUAGUCAAAGAGUUAUAAUUAGCUAAGAGACGCGGCCGCCAACAUAUACGAGCAAAAGUAGCAGAAGAGGCAAACAGUUAUUCAAGUGCCUCAGCACCCGUACCUAUUCAGGUUGCUUAAAACUCAAAGAUUGCAAAAAUCAAGGGAAUGAAUCUGACAGCAUACGAGUGUCUAAAUACAAUAUUUAAUGAGUAUUAAAUAUCGAAGACGUUAGAGAAUAUGUAUUUAAUGUAUAUGAUUGUGUAACAUAACAUUUAAUGUUAUUUAUUGCUCAUUAUAGCCUCGUUAUGACAAAGGCAAGGCUCAUAUUUCAAAAAAUAGUUAUAACAGGGGGAAAAGCGAACAGUUGUAGGGAUACGAAAUAUUAUAGGAAUGCAUUCCGAUUUACUUAUUUUCUGAUCAUAUUGUUCUCAAAUUUCUUUCUCUAUAUAUUUUCUUGAUUAUCAGUAACCCGUGUUUUUUUAAAAUUUUUAGUUUUGACUAAAAAUUUAUUUUUUGGUUAAACAUCUCCGUUCCAAUUUAUGUGUACCUAUUUCCUUUUUAGUCUGUUCCAAAAAGAAUGAGCCCUUUUUAAUAUUUAGCUUGAAUUUUCAAUUCUACCCUUAGUGAAGCUUUUAUAACCAUACAAAUACUAUGUACCCCUUUUUGAGUUGCUUAGAACCACAAAUUUCAAAAAUCUUUAUUUUUUCUUAAACUCCGUACCCCGUUAAAUAGAUUCACAUAAAUUGGAACAAAGGGAAUAACAUACUUGCCUUGAUUCAAAUUAAUACCUCGAUUGAAGUAUCUCACUUCUAUGCCAAGAAAGAAAUGCAAAGGUCCAAGGUAUUUGACGGCAAACUCCUUUCCGAGACCUGUGACUCAGGGGCGGCCCAAGGGUCAAGCCACUAAAGCAAAGCCUUUAGGCUCCCAAAUUUUGAGGGCCCAAUUUUUUUAAUUUUUUUAUUUUCUGUUCGUAUUUGUAUUAAGACCACGACUAAUCUAGAUUAAUACUGCGUAAUGCCUAGUAAAAGAGAAAACAUAUUUUAACAAGAUUUACUUUAACCACAAGACUCGAAUCCAAUAUAUCUAAUUAAGGUAAGUCGGAUCAUAUAUAUCUCACAACAAUCUUUAGAGGUAGGGUCUAAAUAUAUUGGGUAUGUUAAAAUUAAAAAUAAGAUAUUUUAUAAAAAAUAAAGAUAACUUUUAAUUUAGUAUUGAUGUAAUCGUUUAAGCAAAAAUUGGAGAGAGAGAGAAUCACUCUCCCUAAACCCUUACCGCGAAUAUAAAAUUUUUCAUUAUCUAUAUUAUUAUUCUCCUUUUACAUUUCGUACUAAAAACAUGUAAUAAACUUUUAGAAUGCAUUUUUUAGUAUCUUCUGUAGUUCAAGUCUUAUUUUUUUUAUUUUUUUCAUAAGAAAACGGGUGCUACAUUCUUAUAUACUUUUCUUGGUUUCUACAAAAAAAAACCUUAAGUUCUCGAUAAGUUAUAUUGUUCUCUAUAGAAAGAAAAGAGUUUUAUUUUUUUACAAAAAAUAAGAGUUGAAGAGUACCGUUGAAUAAAAAUAUAUUGCGCAUCCCCCCCUCUCCCCCUUCAGCGUUUCAACAAGUGUAUUAGAACAUCAAAAAUUAUUUUGACAUCAAGUUAUAAAUUUCUUAAAUUUGGUUCUAUUAUCUAAGAUCAACAAUAUUUUAGGAGAGAUUAAAUUAUUUAUAAAAGAAACUAUUAACAACUUUACAUCCUAGAAAGCUAUAAAAAUAGAUUUCACUUAAAAAUAUAGACGAACUUUUUUCCUUCUGAAAGGUCCCGGAUUAAAUAUUGACUUUAGGCCACCAAUCUUCUUGGACCGCCCCUGCUGUGAGUAUCUCUGCAAUGAACUCAUAAGAGCUUCCUGUAACCACACUAUAUCCAUAUACAGAAGCAGCAAGCUUUUUCCUAUCUUGCGUUGGAAUACAAACAAUGAUGAGUCUGCUUACUACAUUUGAAACCAAGAUGGAGUAGAUACACAUUAAACCUGUCAAACCAGGCCCUAGGUUCCUGCUUAAAAUCAUACAAUGCCCUUUUUAGAAGGCAUUUGAAUCAACGAAACCUGAGGACUAAGAGCCUGUUUGGUUUAGCUGAUUUAGAAUAGCGGAUAAGUAUUGGGUAUUGAAAAGCACUUAACUGUUGAAACUAAUUUAAAAAAUAAGCAGUUACAUGUUUGGAUAAAAGUGCUGAAGAAUUGGGUAUAUGAAGAGUUUUAUUUAAAAAAAAUUAUUUUAGGGAUAGAAUAAUAAAUAUUUUGGUCAAACCUCAAGUGCUUAUAAGCUGAAAUUUGAUAAGUUAGGGUAGACCAAUUAUGACUUUUGGCUUAGUUUUGGUUUAGAAGCCCUUAACUUCUAAGCACGUUUAAUUUUACCAAACGCAUAGAUAAGCCAAAAAGUAGUUAUAAGCCAGUUUGACCGACUUAUAAGCUUAGCCAAACACCUUUUAGAUCAUGUAGACUUGCUCCUACAAGUUAUCUGAUAGGCCAGUGUGAAGUGAUUGCAACCGAGAGAAUCACUCUUACGGUAGUUGCCUUAAUGACUGAUGAAGGUCUUCCCUAUUAACAGGACUGAGCAUCUCUUUGCAACAAGCCUGACUUUGUACCUAUUUAUAGUGCCAUCAGACUGCAGCGUGGUUAUAAAAAUCCACUUUGAGCCAACUAUAUUUAUGCCUGCAGUUUAUGGGACUAGAAUCCAAGUCUUGUUCUUGUGUAAUGCAUCAAUUUCCUACUGCAUCGCUGCAUACUAGUGAGUGCAUGGCUCACAGUCCUUGCUUCUACGUCCAUUGUAUUCUUGACUGCUACUAUGGAAGUAUGGGUUAUAUGCAUUUUUCUUGCCUUAUAUCUUGUAACCAUAUGAUAACCAUCUAUGUUGUCUGGUGCACAGAUUUGCUCAUAUGUGAGGUCAUGUUCAUCUGUGAGACGUGGCACAGUAUGGUUGUGCUCAGUACUAAACCAUUUUCCCCGGGCUGUCAAAUUUGGCCCAAGCCCAAAUGACCCGCCCAAGGUUGAAUUGGUUAUUGACCCGUCCAUUUAUUGAACUUAGUCCAUCUUGACCAACACAUCUCAACCCAUUUUAAAUUUGGGUUAAUUUUUGGGAUUUUUACCUAUAUAUACCAUAUAACAACCCUUAUUACCAAAAUUGUGUAUGGUUUGGUAUUUACUCGCCUAUACCAUGUUUUGUUUACAAACAUUGUACCAAACCAAAAAUAGAUAGAUUCUACUCUAAAAAGGCUCCAAAUUUGUAGGAAUCACAUUU